rnacentral:rRNA from 1 species
GACGAACGCUGGCGGCGUGCUUAACACAUGCAAGUCGAACGCAAAGGCCCUGCUUUUGUGGGGUGCUCGAGUGGCGAACGGGUGAGUAACACGUGAGUAACCUGCCCUUGACUUUGGGAUAACUUCAGGAAACUGGGGCUAAUACCGGAUAGGAGCUCCUGCUGCAUGGUGGGGGUUGGAAAGCUUCGGCGGUUGGGGAUGGACUCGCGGCUUAUCAGCUUGUUGGUGGGGUAGUGGCUUACCAAGGCUUUGACGGGUAGCCGGCCUGAGAGGGUGACCGGCCACAUUGGGACUGAGAUACGGCCCAGACUCCUACGGGAGGCAGCAGUGGGGAAUAUUGCACAAUGGGCGGAAGCCUGAUGCAGCAACGCCGCGUGCGGGAUGACGGCCUUCGGGUUGUAAACCGCUUUCGCCUGUGACGAAGCGUGAGUGACGGUAAUGGGUAAAGAAGCACCGGCUAACUACGUG